rnacentral:rRNA from 1 species
UACGUACCGUCCAAACGUUAUUCGGAAUUACUGGGCUUAAAGGGUACGUAGGCGGCGCUGUCAGUCGGGUGUGAAAUCCCAGGGCUCAACCCUGGAACUGCGCCCGAUACUGCAGUGCUUGAGGGAGACAGAGGUAAGCGGAACUGAUGGUGGAGCGGUGAAAUGCGUUGAUAUCAUCAGGAACACCAGUGGCGAAAGCGGCUUACUGGGUCUCUUCUGACGCUAAGGUACGAAAGCCAGGGGAGCGAAGGGG